GACGAACCGUGCGAACGUUAUUCGGAAUCACUGGGCUUAAAGCGCGUGUAGGCGGAUCGGCGCGUCGGUUGUUGAAAGCCCCUGGCUCAACCAGGGAAUCGGCACCGAUACGGCUGGUCUGGAGGGAGGUAGGGGGAGCCGGAACUUCCGGUGGAGCGGUGAAAUGCGUUGAGAUCGGAAGGAACGCCCGUGGCGAAAGCGGGCUCCUGGACCUCACCUGACGCUGAGACGCGAAAGCUAGGGGAGCAAACGGG
rnacentral:rRNA from 1 species